UAAUACCGCAUACGUCCUACGGGAGAAAGCAGGGGACCUUCGGGCCUUGCGCUAUCAGAUGAGCCUAGGUCGGAUUAGCUAGUUGGUGAGGUAAUGGCUCACCAAGGCGACGAUCCGUAACUGGUCUGAGAGGAUGAUCAGUCACACUGGAACUGAGACACGGUCCAGACUCCUACGGGAGGCAGCAGUGGGGAAUAUUGGACAAUGGGCGAAAGCCUGAUCCAGCCAUGCCGCGUGUGUGAAGAAGGUCUUCGGAUUGUAAAGCACUUUAAGUUGGGAGGAAGGGCAUUAACCUAAUACGUUGGUGUCUUGACGUUACCGACAGAAUAAGCACCGGCUAACUCUGUGCCAGCAGCCGCGGUAAUACAGAGGGUGCAAGCGUUAACCGGAAUUACUGGGCGUAAAGCGCGCGUAGGUGGUUUGUUAAGUUGGAUGUGAAAUCCCCGGGCUCAACCUGGGAACUGCAUUCAAAACUGACAAGCUAGAGUAUGGWAGAGGGUGGUGGAAUUUUCCUGUGUAGCGGUGAAAUGCG
rnacentral:rRNA from 1 species